AGUGAACGCUGGCGGCGUGCCUAAUACAUGCAAGUCGAACGGAGAUUAAGUAGCUUGCUAUUUAAUCUUAGUGGCGCACGGGUGAGUAAUAUAUAGCUAACUUGCCCAUUACUAAGGGACAACAGUUGGGAACGACUGCUAAUACCUUAUACUCCGUAUCUAUAUAAGUAGAUACGGGAAAGUUUUUCGGUAAUGGAUAGGGCUAUAUCGUAUCAGCUAGUUGGUAAGGUAAUGGCUUACCAAGGCUAUGACGCGUAACUGGUCUGAGAGGAUGAUCAGUCACACUGGAACUGAGACACGGUCCAGACUCCUACGGGAGGCAGCAGUAGGGAAUAUUGCUCAAUGGGGGAAACCCUGAAGCAGCAACGCCGCGUGGAGGAUGACACUUUUCGGAGCGUAAACUCCUUUUCUUGGGAAAGAAUUAUGACGGUACCCAAGGAAUAAGCACCGGCUAACUCCGUG
rnacentral:rRNA from 1 species